CACAGGAGUAGCCACCUUGAAGGCAGCCAGAAAUGAUUAGCAGAGUAAUCUAUGGAGGCUGUGUGUCUAAUGGCUAGGACACUGGACAAGCAGUCCGUAUCAGUGCUGCUGACUCACGUGACUUUAAAGAGUUGAGGCAAUUCCUGCUGAAUGAAUUCAAGAGCUUCAGCUCUUUUGAUGUGCUUCAGCUUCCCGCUGCUGGAUCCUGUUAUUCCUUUGUCUGCUGGAUUAAAUAACCCUCUACUACCAGCAGUUUUCCCCCUCAUGCAGAAAAUACAUAGACUACAAAAUGCUAUCUGGUGCUAUCCCUAAAAGUGGCAUAUUUAUCCUGUCUAUACUGGAAAUAUAAAAGGGGAUUUUGCUUCUGAAGAUUACCAGGGAAUCUGAAAUUUUCCUGAAGAAGAUGGCAGAACUGUUCAUGAACACCAACUAAGUUGCAGUUUUCGUGGAUGAUAUUUUAACAUAUGGGUCAUCGAUUGAAGAACACAACAAAGCUCUCAAAGAAGUUCUAAUCUUAAUCAGUCAGUUUGGACUGAAGCUCAAUAAGAAAAACUGGAUUUUCCACUUAAACCAAAGCAAGGUUUUUGGGGAGACAAAAAACAAAGAUGGACUCAAUCCUAGCCCUGAGAAAGUAAAAGCAAUUUGAGAAUUGAAUUCACUAACUAAUGUACCAGAACUGAGAUGCAUACUGGGGAUGGUAAAUUAUCCUGGUCAAUACCUACAAGACCUUUGUACAGUGACAAAACCACUGAAUGAACUAUCAAAGUCCAACACAUCAUGGAUAUGGGGGACAAAACAAGAAAUUCCCUUCAAAAAGGAAAAAAAAAAUCUCAGUAGCUCCAGUUCUCAAGUACUAUGAUGUGGACAAACCCACGAUGUUCAAUGCUGAUGCAAGCAGCUAUGAUGGUGUAGUGGAUCUGAGGGGAAGCCAGUUGCAUUUUGCUCUCACACACUCACAGAAGCAGAAAAAUGAUCUGCUUAGAUUGAAAAGGCGUGCCUGGCAAGUGUAUGGGCAUGUGAGAACUUUUACAGGUACUUGUGUGGAUUGGUUUCUUUUACCCUGAUAAUAAAGAGCUUGUGAACCACAUCAGUGGAAAAGAUCUGGAUCUAGCACCAGUGAGACGCCAACAUCUUUUGAUAGAGUUAAAGUGAUUUACCCCGAUUACUAAUUACGUUCCUGGGGAAAAUCUGG